rnacentral:rRNA from 1 species
GUGGGGAAUCUUAGACAAUGGGCGCAAGCCUGAUCUAGCCAUGCCGCGUGAGUGAUGAAGGACCUAGGGUUGUAAAGCUCUUUCAGCUGGGAAGAUAAUGACGGUACCAGCAGAAGAAGCCCCGGCUAACUCCGUGCCAGCAGCCGCGGUAAUACGGAGGGGGCUAGCGUUGUUCGGAAUUACUGGGCGUAAAGCGCGCGUAGGCGGACUGAAAAGUUGGGGGUGAAAUCCCGGGGCUCAACCUCGGAACUGCCUUCAAAACUAUCAGUCUGGAGUUCGAGAGAGGUGAGUGGAAUUCCGAGUGUAGAGGUGAAAUUCGUAGAUAUUCGGAGGAACACCAGUGGCGAAGGCGGCUCACUGGCUCGAUACUGACGCUGAGGUGCGAAAGCGUGGGGAGCAAACAGGAUUAGAUACCCGUGUAGUCC